UACGGAGGGCGCAAGCGUUGUUCGGAAUCACUGGGCGUAAAGCGCGGGUAGGCGGCCGGGCAAGUCGGAUGUGAAAUCCCGAGGCUCAACCUCGGAACUGCAUUCGAAACUGCCCGGCUCGAGUCCCGGAGAGGAUGGCGGAAUUCCCGGUGUAGGGGUGAAAUCCGUAGAUAUCGGGAGGAACACCAGUGGCGAAGGCGGCCAUCUGGACGGUGACUGACGCUGAGACGCGAAAGCGUGGGGAGCAAACAGG
rnacentral:rRNA from 1 species